CCUACGGGAGGCUGCAGUGAGGAAUAUUGGUCAAUGGACGAGAGUCUGAACCAGCCAAGUAGCGUGAAGGAUGACUGCCCUAUGGGUUGUAAACUUCUUUUAUAUGGGAAUAAAACGUUCCACGUGUGGGAUUUUGUAUGUCCCAUAUGAAUAAGGAUCGGCUAACUCCGUGCCAGCAGCCGCGGUAAUACGGAGGAUCCGAGCGUUAUCCGGGUUUAUUUGGUUUAAAGGGAGCGUAGCUGGAUUGUUAAGUCAGUCGUGAAAGUUUGGGGCUCAACCGUAAAAUUGCAGUUGAAACUGGCAGUCUUGAGUGCAGUAGAGGUAAGUGGAAUUCGUGGUGUAGCGGUGAAAUGCUUAGAUAUCAGGAAGAACUCCGAUGGCGAAGGCAGUUCACUGGACUGCAACUGACGCUGAGGCUCGAAAGUGUGGGGAUCAAACAGGAUUAGAUACCCGAGUAGUC
rnacentral:rRNA from 1 species